rnacentral:rRNA from 1 species
UCUUUCAGGAACACUGUAUUGUAUGCACCCAGUCUUGUCUGGUCUCAGAAGCUAAACUGUCCUGGACCUGGGUAAUACUUGGAUGGCAGACCACCUGGGACUUAUAGGUGCUUCAGGCU